GCGUCCGUAGCUCAGGUGGAUAGAGCAUCGGCCUUCUAAGCCGAGUGUCCGGGGUUCGAGUCCCUGCGGACGCG
rnacentral:tRNA from 1 species